CAGUCGCCGCGGGAAUACGAAGGGUGCAAGCGUUAAUCGGAAUUACUGGGCGUAAAGCGUGCGCAGGCGGUGAUGUAAGACAGUUGUGAAAUCCCCGGGCUCAACCUGGGAACUGCAUCUGUGACUGCAUCGCUGGAGUGCGGCAGAGGGGGAUGGAAUUCCGCGUGUAGCAGUGAAAUGCGUAGAUAUGCGGAGGAACACCGAUGGCGAAGGCAAUCCCCUGGGCCUGCACUGACGCUCAUGCACGAAAGCGUGGGGAGCAAACAGGAUUAGAUACCCGAGUAGUCCCUGUCUCUUAUAC
rnacentral:rRNA from 1 species